rnacentral:rRNA from 1 species
GUAGGUGGCAAGCGUUGUCCGGAAUUAUUGGGCGUAAAGCGCGCGCAGGCGGUUCUUUAAGUCUGAUGUGAAAGCCCACGGCUCAACCGUGGAGGGUCAUUGGAAACUGGAGAACUUGAGUACAGAAGAGGAAAGCGGAGUUCCACGUGUAGCGGUGAAAUGCGUAGAGAUGUGGAGGAACACCAGUGGCGAAGGCGGCUUUCUGGUCUGUAACUGACGCUGAGGCGCGAAAGCGUGGGGAGCAAGCAGGAUUAGAUACCCUGGUAGUCCACGCCGUAAACGAUGAGUGCUAAGUGUUAGGGGGUUUCCGCCCCUUAGUGCUGCAGCUAACGCAUUAAGCACUCCGCCUGGGAGUACGGCCGCAAGGCUG